AAAACUCAUUCUUCAAGGUUUUGGUUUUGAAUAGUUAAAUGCACAAUUUGAUUUCAUCAUCAAAGAAAAAAGAUUACAAUUCCAGAAUAUUGGAAAUGUUCAAUGAGUUCAAAGAAUUGUUGCUGAUUGCCCAGCAAGCACUGAUGAAUGAACAUGUUCAGAGCACAGGAGUCAACAAUGGUUUGUGAAGAAAAUGAGCUUCCAAGUUUGCAAUAACAAGGUCUGCCAUGGCUGUGCAAGUUUCUACUGUAUCACUUGCAACAUGGGACAAUAGAACAACAUUCUCAAGUCCGAACAAUUGUUCAGGAACCUCUGGUUCUCUCUGAUAAACAUCAAGACCAGCUCCACCAAUACGACCUUCAGUCAGUGCAGCUACAAGUUCAGAUUCAUCUACAUGUGCACCUCGUCCUAUGUUGAUUAUGAUGCCCUUUGGACCUAAUGCAUCAAGCACUAUGCGAUUGACUAUGUUUCGAGUUUCUUCAGUCAAAGCGCAUGCAACAAUAAGGAUUUCAGAGUUUGCAGCCAAAUCGACCACAGUAGAGUAGUAUUUGUAGUUGAUGUUUGGUUUCUUGGAUCUGGAGUGGUAGCUAAUGGGGCAUCCAAAAGCUUCAGCUCUCUUUGCUAUUGCUGAACCAAUUCUGCCCAAUCCAAUUAUGCCAACUGAUUUACCGCUGAACUGAAACAAGGCGCAGUCAUCAUUUGUUAAAAAUGAAAACAAAAGACCAAACAAUAGAAGAAUUCAGCAUUUGAAUUUUUGUUAUGAAAAAAGAAAGAUCCAGGUCUAACGUAAGUUCACUAUGUUUACUGUUUUACAUACUUUGAGGCCUUGAGACGAUAUAUCCAUACUAUUUCAAGACUCAACAGGCAUUCUGCUAAGGAACGCCUAUAAGUACCUACUACUCGUUUUCUAAAU
rnacentral:misc_RNA from 1 species